GUACACGCUGUGACUAGCAUAUCAAUAAGCGGAGGAAAAGAAACUAACAAGGAUUCCCCUAGUAACGGCGAGUGAAGCGGGAAGAGCUCAAAUUUGAAAUCUUAAAGGGUUUCCCUUUACGAAUUGUAGUUUAAAGAAGUGUUUUCUGUUGAGGUUUUGGUAAAAGUUCUUUGGAAUAGGACAUCAUAGAGGGUGAGAAUCCCGUAUUUGACCUUUACUUUCAACUUUGUGAUACACUUUCAAAGAGUCGGAUUGUUUGGGAAUGCAGUCCAAAAUGGGUGGUAAAUUUCAUCUAAAGCUAAAUAUUGGCGAGAGACCGAUAGCGAACAAGUACCGUGAGGGAAAGAUGAAAAGAACUUUGAAAAGAGAGUUAAACAGUACGUGAAAUUGUCAAAAGGGAAGCGUUUCGACACCAGUGUUGUUUUUCUGAAAAUCAAUUAAAGAACUGUUUAUGCUAAGUUGUUUAGACUUUAUCAGCUAACUGUUUAGUUUUGAGCUUUUCUUUAAUGCACUUUUCAGUUAACAAGUCAACAUCAAUUUCUUUUGCUGUAAAAAAGCUUGAGGAAGGUGGCUUGAGAUUCGUCUUAAGUGUUUAUAGCCUCUUGCCUAUGCAGUCGGAGAGAUUGAGGUCUGCAGCGUAGAUCCUUCGGGGCUAAAUGCAUUCGUGCUAAGUUAUAGCAUUUUAUAGACAACUUGUUGACUAUGAUUUGUCUUGUAGCUUACUCGCUUAUGUUAUUUUACCUACGCUUAGGAUGUUGAAGAUGUAGCACAUCAU
rnacentral:rRNA from 1 species